rnacentral:rRNA from 1 species
CAGGCGUCGAGCGGCGGACGGGUGAGUAACGCGUAGGAAUUUACCUAAUGGCGGGGGAUAGCCCGGGGAAACUCGGAUUAAUACCGCAUAAGCUCUACGGAGGAAAGCAGGGGAUUUUCGGACCUUGCACCAUUAGAUGAGCCUGCGUGAGAUUAGCUAGUUGGUGAGGUAAUGGCUCACCAAGGCGACGAUCUCUAGCUGGUCUGAGAGGAUGAUCAGCCACACUGGGACUGAGACACGGCCCAGACUCC